rnacentral:rRNA from 1 species
CCUACGGGAGGCAGCAGUGGGGAAUAUUGCACAAUGGGGGCAACCCUGAUGCAGCGACGCCGCGUGAGCGAUGAAGUAUUUCGGUAUGUAAAGCUCUAUCAGCAGGGAAGAAAAUGACGGUACCUGACUAAGAAGCCCCGGCUAACUACGUGCCAGCAGCCGCGGUAAUCCGUAGGGGGCAAGCGUUAUCCGGAUUUACUGGGUGUAAAGGGAGCGUAGACGGUCCUGCAAGCCAGAUGUGAAAGCUCGGGGGUCAACCCCGGGAGUGCAUUUGGAACUGUAAGGCUAGAGUGUCGGAGAGGCAGGCGGAAUUCGUAGUGUAGCGGUGAAAUGCGUAGAUAUUAGGAGGAACGCCAGUGGCGAAGGCGGCCUGCUGGACGAUGACUGACGCUGAGGCUCGAAAGCGUGGGGAGCGAACAGGAUUAGAUACCCUUGUAGUC